UCUUCCGUAGUCUAGUGGUUAUGAGUAAGCACCUGUUUCACGCGCUAUCUGUAACAUAUACUUACAAAUCUUCAGUUUCCGCUUGUCACUGUACAUAUUCGCGGACGGCCCGGGUUCGAUUCCCGGCGGGAGAG